rnacentral:rRNA from 1 species
UACGAACUGUGCGAACGUUAUUCGGAAUCACUGGGCUUACAGGGUGCGUAGGCGGCUAUUCAGGUCAGGUGUGAAAGCCCCCGGCUCAACCGGGGAACUGCGUCUGAUACUGGAUGGCUUGAGGUUGGGAGAGGGAUGCGGAAUUCCAGGUGUAGCGGUGAAAUGCGUAGAUAUCUGGAGGAACACCGGUGGCGAAGGCGGCAUCCUGGACCAAUUCUGACGCUGAGUGAGCGAAAGCCAGGGGAGCAAACGGG